UGGGUAGUAGCUGAUAUACCAGGUGCGACCUCCCGCACUGAACGGAGAGGAACGGAGGGCCUGGCCACGACCGGCUUUCAAGGUGCUGGAGUACCCCUCGAUCUUGAGUAUGUGGUAGGUUCGUCCCGCGGUGAUGGUAGUGGUGGACCUCGACGGCGGAGGACCGUCACCGACGCUGGACGUGAGAGCCGCAGCCGCCGCCGUCGUCGUCGUCGUCAUACCUGCGUCUAGCCCGACGUCCGACGGAGAUGUAGGAGCUGAGGCCUGCGUUUUUCUGUUGGUUGGCAGCACGCCGAUGUGCACAGGAUUCUGAUUUCUAAGCUACCUCUGCCUAGCCUCUUGUAGUAAAGCUAAAGAGAAGUGUUGGUAUUCAACUCCAAUUGCUAGGAGUUAACAGGAAGAAGCAGAGUUUGAUCUGAUUCGGGAUUGACUGCUUCGGCCCGGUUCCUCGACGGUAAGUAGUAGUCAGAAACCCGAUGUACGUCGUCCCAUGCUACUGCUCCGGGCUCCAGCAUCCACACCGAUGUAUCUACCCCCACGCGCUCGCGUUCCCCUCAACCGCCACCCUUCACGCCCUCAAUCCCCUCCUCUCCUCCGCGCAUCUCUCACCCGGCGCCGUAAUCGCCGCCCGCCUUCCGCGUCGCAAGCGGCGGCCCCUCUGCGCCGAUUCCCCACCAUCAUCGAUCUCCUCCGCCCUCUCAGCCACCGCCGCCAGGGAGGCGACGCCCCAACCGAACCGCACUGCCGGGACACCGACGCCCAUCCCGUUCACUCGCCUGCCCCUCUGCGCCGCGCCGCCGGAUCAACGUCAGUCGCCUGCCUCUUGCCCGGUCUCCUUUGCGCCAUUAUCGAUAUCCGCCAAGUGCUGCUGUUCCCUCCGCCGGAAGCUCCACCGCCGUCCCGCGCCGGGACAUCGACGCCCGCCUUGCUGAUCCCGUUCCAUCCCGUCCUCCACUGCCGCUCCACUCGCCCUCCACUGCGCCGCCACGGAUCUCAGCCGCCGGAUCCGCUCCCCUCGCCCUCCUCCGCGCCGCCACUGACCUCCACCUCGACGGACGCCUGCCCGUACACAUCGAGUCCACCGCAGCUCCCCUGUCGACGGCGAACUGCUUUACUCCUGGCUGGUCUCCUCUGCGCCUCCACCAGCCCCGCGGUGGCCUUCAUUGUCGAUAGUCUCAUCUCAAAAGAGAUGCCAUGACGUUACAGAUAUGCAAAUGAAAUCGAUCGAUUGAUCAACCUACCCACUUGCUCAACCAAUUUGAUUAACACCAAUUCUGAAUCUCAGAUCAUGCAAGCACAGGCUGGGAUGGUGGAGCAGCCUCCACAGAUCCGUUCUGUCAGGCAUCUUGGCUUACGGGUGAACUACACAGCGAUGGCAUCAAUUUGCAGUUGACGUGAACAAUCGGAUAAAAGGCUAGCAUUAUCCAAUCUGCUGCUUUGACUGCAUGGCGUGCUUUAUAUGGUGAGCUCCCAGAUUUAUGAAACUAUCAGUAGCACAACUAGAAAGGAAAGGGACAUUUAUUUUCAGCAGAAAGAGAAAGGAUAGAGGAAGUACGUACAGUCGAAUGUGAUGAAUGAAAUAUCUGAUGAUGCUCUCGUUUCAGCUGUGAUGAAUGAAAUAUCUGAUGGCAGGUGAUUUUAAUUUAGGGAUUCGGUUCAACCUUUUUCUUUUACAUUUUCUUUUACAAUUUGUAGUUUGUAGAGCCUAAAUUAUUCAGGUUUACAGGCUGUUAUGUUUGUUUAGAUAAGACAAUCUUUUUAUUUGCCAGUUUCUCAAAAAACUCUGGCCAGAAAUUAAUGUACCAUUAUAUACUUCCUAGGAUUCUAGGAAUAAGGCUGAGUUCGGGGGGUGUAUUUGUCUUUGCAAA